rnacentral:rRNA from 1 species
GAUGAACGCUGGCGGCGUGCUUAACACAUGCAAGUCGAACGAAGCACUUCAUAAAGUUUACUUUAAGAAGUGACUUAGUGGCGGACGGGUGAGUAACGCGUGGGUAACCUGCCUUACACAGGGGGAUAACAGUUAGAAAUGACUGCUAAUACCGCAUAAAACAGCAGAGUCGCAUGACUCAACUGUCAAAGAUUUAUCGGUGUAAGAUGGACCCGCGUCUGAUUAGCUAGUUGGUGGGGUAACGGCCUACCAAGGCGACGAUCAGUAGCCGGCCUGAGAGGGUGAACGGCCACAUUGGGACUGAGACACGGCCCAAACUCCUACGGGAGGCAGCAGUGGGGAAUAUUGGACAAUGGGCGAAAGCCUGAUCCAGCGACGCCGCGUGAGCGAUGAAGUAUUUCGGUAUGUAAAGCUCUAUCAGCAGGGAAGAAAACGACGGUACCUGACUAAGAAGCCCCGGCU